AACUUUCAACAACGGAUCUCUUGGUUCUCGCAACGAUGAAGAACGCAGCGAAAUGCGAUACGUAUUGUGAAUUGCAGAUUUUCGUGAAUCAUCGAAUCUUUGAACGCACAUUGCACCCUCUGGUAUUCCAGAGGGUAUGCCUGUUUGAGCGUCAU
rnacentral:rRNA from 1 species